GGAGAGGUGGCUGAGUGGUUGAAAGCACCGGUUUCGAAAACCGGCAUGUCGAAAGGCAUCGAGGGUUCGAAUCCCUCCCUCUCCG
rnacentral:tRNA from 1 species